AUUCUGGAAAUCAUUGCUUUGU
rnacentral:miRNA from 1 species